rnacentral:rRNA from 1 species
GAGGGUGAAAUCCUGGAGCUCAACUCCAGAACUGCCUUUGAUACUGGGUGUCUAGAGUAUGGAAGAGGUAAGUGGAAUUGCGAGUGUAGAGGUGAAAUUCGUAGAUAUUCGCAGGAACACCAGUGGCGAAGGCGGCUUACUGGUCCAUUACUGACGCUGAGGUGCGAAAGCGUGGGGAGCAAA